rnacentral:ncRNA from 1 species
GGGGGGGUGCCCCUCGAACUCGGGUUGCAGGAUCAGGGUUCAAACCACCGGCUGCUGCUUGAGCCCAAUGGUCGAGGUGGUGAGCGAGACCGGAAAAGGCAGAGCAAGACCCUGUCAGGU